rnacentral:rRNA from 1 species
GACGAACGCUGGCGGCGUGCUUAACACAUGCAAGUCGAACGAAGUGGCGAACGGGUGAGUAACGCGUAAUCAACCUGCCCUUCAGAGGGGGACAACAGUGGGAAACGACUGCUAAUACCGCAUACUGAAGGUGGGGAUGGCGUCUGAUUAGCUAGUUGGAUGGGUAACGGCCCACCAAGGCGAUGAACAGUGGCCGGUCUGAGGGGAGGAACGGCCACAUUUGGACUGAGGCACGGCCCAGACUCCUACGGGAGGCAGCAGUGGGGAAUCUUCCGCAAUGGGCGAAAGUCUGACGGAGCAACGCCGCGUGAGUGAUGCCGGCCUUCGGGUUGUAAAGCUCUGUUAAUCGGGACGCGGUACCGGAAUAGAAAGCCACGGCUAACUACGUGCCAGCAGCCGCGGUAAUUC